rnacentral:lncRNA from 1 species
UGAAUAGUGCCGUAUAUGUGAAUAGUACUGUAUACGUGAAUAGUGCCGUAUACGUGAAUAGUAAUCCCGACACAAAAAGGUAGAAAUUCCACAAUAAUAUUCAUAUCAAUAUUCUCGGUAUAAUGAUAUUGAAAGAAAUAAUAUCAUUUUACGAAGAAAAUAGCAUUCCUUACCAUCCCUUACUAUCCCUUACAAUCCCAUAAAAUCCCUUACUAUCCCUUACCUCAAAAGAGCAGCACUUCUGACUGGAUAUCGGAUAUGACGCUGAAGGAAACUUCCACUGAUGAAUAUCAACUCACCAAGUAUCUAAAUACUCACAAAAUACACUCAAUAAUCUAGAGAGAGAAAGAGAGAAAACUUGUUUCUGG